rnacentral:rRNA from 2 species
UGAGGAAUAUUGGUCAAUGGGCGUAAGCCUGAACCAGCCAAGUCGCGUGAGGGAUGAAGGUUCUAUGGAUCGUAAACCUCUUUUAUAAGGGAAUAAAGUGCGGGACGUGUCCUGUUUUGUAUGUACCUUAUGAAUAAGGAUCGGCUAACUCCGUGCCAGCAGCCGCGGUAAUACGGAGGAUCCGAGCGUUAUCCGGAUUUAUUGGGUUUAAAGGGUGCGUAGGCGGCCUUUUAAGUCAGCGGUGAAAGUCUGUGGCUCAACCAUAGAAUUGCCGUUGAAACUGGGGGGCUUGAGUAUGUUUGAGGCAGGCGGAAUGCGUGGUGUAGCGGUGAAAUGCUUAGAUAUCACGCAGAACCCCGAUUGCGAAGGCAGCCUGCCAAGCCAUGACUGACGCUGAUGCACGAAAGCGUGGGGAUCAAACAGGAUUAGAUACCCUGGUAGUCCACGCAGUAAACGAUGAUCACUAGCUGUUUGCGAUACAGUGUAAGCGGCACAGCGAAAGCGUUAAGUGAUCCACCUGGGGAGUACGCCGGCAACGGUGAAACUCAAAGGAAUUGACGGGGGCCCGCACAAGCGGAGGAACAUGUGGUUUAAUUCGAUGAUACGCGAGGAACCUUACCCGGGUUUGAACGCAUUUCGACCGCUCUGGAAACAGAGCCUCUAGCAAUAGCGAUUUGCGAGGUGCUGCAUGGUUGUCGUCAGCUCGUGCCGUGAGGUGUCGGCUUAAGUGCCAUAACGAGCGCAACCCUUGCCACUAGUUACUAACAGGUGAUGCUGAGGACUCUGGUGGGACUGCCAGCGUAAGCUGCGAGGAAGGCGGGGAUGACGUCAAAUCAGCACGGCCCUUACAUCCGGGGCGACACACGUGUUACAAUGGCGUGGACAAAGGGAAGCCACCUGGCGACAGGGAGCGAAUCCCCAAACCACGUCUCAGUUCGGAUCGGAGUCUGCAACCCGACUCCGUGAAGCUGGAUUCGCUAGUAAUCGCGCAUCAGCCAUGGCGCGGUGAAUACGUUCCC